UGUACUUGUGUGUGUGUGUGCAUUCAUGCCUGCUGCUGGAUAUGUAGUUACAGUUCCCAGGCUUUAGGUACCUGCUGGACUAGGAAGAACCCAAACUUGUCUGCCCCUGCUCUUGACUAACAGGUGACUUGGGUGAGUUUCUUAAUUUCUUGGAGUCUCAAGUUAUUCAGCUACUACAUGGAAUGGAUGGGGUGCUGAGGAAGAGUGUCUUCAUAGGGGAGACAUGUUCACUUGGCUCUGUUUCCUCUUAGGUGCCUACCUUUACCUGACCACCUAAAUGUAUGUAAUUAGUGUUUAUUGCCCAUGCAUUUCAGAGGCAUCAGAUUAUUUUCUUCAUGAAGCAUCCUUUUUUCCAAAAAAAAAAAAAGUCAAUAUGAAAUACCAAAUUCUAAGCUAGGAAAAGAAGUUUGUGUCUGGCUUGACCCAUUACAUGAUAUUUGAUUAUGGGAAUAUCACUAAUGCCCCCAACAUUGUCUCCUUAUGUGAUGAAUGUAGAGGGUGUUAAAUCAGGGUGGUAGAGGCAAUAAGGUGACAGCUAGGACACCACUGUGUAUGUCCAGCUCACAGCAAAUACAGAAGAGGUGAUGGGGAACGAUGAUAGGGACCCAGAAAAAAUUUCUAAGCAUACAGUAGAGAAGAUUGUACAAGCACCAGUUAGUGGCCUGGGGCAAGGACAGAAGUCAAGCUUGAUAAGCAGAUGUGUGUGAGCAGAGAGUAGGGAAAGUCAGACAGGAAAAUGGGAGGGUGUAUGGGGGCCAGAUCCUUCAAAACAGUGGGAUCAUUUAGACCCAGGAGCCACAGGGAAGAGCCAUAGUUGAUCCAUGUGAAUAGGGACUGUCUUUCACAGGCAAACACUUGAAGAAUUUCCCCCACAUUCUCCACCACAGACAGAGAUAAAGUAAGGUAUCCACUGAUAUAGGAUGAAGGAGAGUGUGAUGAAAAUUUACAGAAAGUAACUAGGGUUCUAUGUCUUCCUUUACGAAGCUAUUACUAGGAGGCCGAUGAGGGGAAAUAGCUGAAAAGGCCAGUGGAAAUAUAGAUUAAAAAUACUAGAUAUUUGAAAGAGUAGAGGACCAGAUGUACAUGGCUGCAUCUUAGCUUAUAGGAGUAAAGACCUGUGCUUUGGAAGGUUCCUUCUGUCCAUGGUCACGUGGUUCCAUGACAAUGGGUUGGUGCAGCACUCUCAUGUGACAGAGCAGCUGCUCAUGUCACGGUGGCCAAAAAAAGAGAAACAUACAAGAAAAGGCCCAGGGAACAUUCUUCAAAGGCAAGCCAAUGUCUUCCUACUUGUCCCUUCCCCCACUUUACCAAAAAUGCCAGCAUAUUGUGAAUCCAUCUAUUCAUGAAGUCAUUGAUUAUAUCAGAGUCCUCAUGGCUAUGCCUCACCAAACUCCUAUCUAUGAACAUAGUACUUGGGACCAAACCUUCAACAUCUGAGCCUUUGGCAGAGCUCUUCAUAAUCAAGCCAAGAAAUGAUAGCUUGCUUACGUUUACUUCAGGCAACGACUCCAUGUGAACUGUACUAAUUAAAUUCCCCUACAAACUUAUGGACCAGCCAUUUUCUCCUUCUAUGUUUACUCUCCUUUUUCCUUCCUUAGCCAGUUUGAAUGACACUUCUAACUUCCUAAGGGCCAGGCUUCUUUGAAUCCAUCUUGUGACACAUGGCAUGGCACUCCUUCAUUGUUCCCAUCACAGUGUCCCAGAUGUUAGACACCUCCGGUCCAUCUGAGCUGUGGACACAACCCAGGACAUCAGUAUAUUUUCAGUUCAGUGAGGAACUCAGCAAGACAAAGCAUAAGUGUGAGUGUGAAUACCAUUCGGGGUCCAGGUAUUUAGUAACUUACUCAAAAUGUCAAGAGGAAAAAUGUGGGGCAGGACAAGCUUAGAGAUGACUGGCCUGUUUCUUCUUGGCUUGUCAGGUUGGAGGAAACAUGAGCAAGUUUAGAGAGUAAAAUAAACAUGUCAGAAAAAAAAUAAAGGAAUCAGCUGGGCCAGAAAGCCAGGGGAAAACAAUGUCUGAGACAAAGUCACAGAGGGAGGUCCUGAAGAAGGAAGUCCCAUAUUCUGUAAAGGAAUGGAUGUUAAUCAUCGUUCAGAGAGGGGGAAGACAGGGGGAAGAGGGUAGGAACAGAGAGCGACUUAUUUGGAUAUAGGAGAAUGUGAAGCUCCUUUAGCCUCAGGCUCAACAUCUGCCUGGGAAUUUUAUUUACUUGAAAACAGGAGACACUGGAAGGGAAGGAAGCUGCAGAUGAAAACUAUUCGCACUGUACACAUUAGAGUAUUUAAUUAUACUAUUAUCCAGCUAUGCUUGCAGCACUGGAGGAAGUGAACCGACUUUGUCGUUUGUGAUUCAUUUGGGACUUGACUAGAGAUCUGCCAACUACAUCUCUCCAUUUAGUGUUCUUUCCUCCCUCCAUGACCCCUUCCCUAUGCAUCCUUGUCCUUUUCUCUCCUGCUAUGAACAUUUUGUUGUUAUCUUUAAUGAGUUUUCAUAAGGUCCCUGCGCUUCUAUGUCUUAUGAGUUACCAGCCAAGGAAAGUCUUUGCUUAACUAUGCAAAUAUCUAAGAAACCGGUAUUAUUUUCUGCAACCAAAGGAAAAUAUAGACACUAGGGACAUGGUUCAGUGGAUAAGAGUGCUUGCCUUGCAAGCUUGAGGACCUGAGUUCAGAUGCCCAGCACCCACAGAAAAAGCUGGGAGGGACAACAUGUGCCUGGAAUCACAGUAUUGAGAGACUGAGCCAGUCUAGCCAAUCAGUGAGUCCCAGAUUCAGUGAGAGAAACUGUCUCAAAAAAUGAAGUGGAGAAUGAUACAGGGAGAUGCCUGCCACCACCGACUGCUAGGCCCUGCUGGUGCAUCCACAAGCAAUUUGCACAGGGAGUUCCAGGAUACAGCUUUCAUGACUCCUCAUUCCUGCUGGGUUGGCCUUUUUGGUGAUGCAGCUGCUGUGGAGUCACUAAUGCUCCAGCACGGAACCCCAAUAAGCUCUUGGAUCCAUCAUGCUAGACUUGAAUGGAACCAUUCCUUUGGCCUACUCUUAGUAUCCUCUAUAAGGUAAAUAGAUGUUGGUACCCAUCUCCCCAUGAAAAGUCAUGGAAGGGAAGCCAUGGCUGACCCAUGCUUUCUUCCUUUCCUUCCGUAAAACUAUGUUGUACUACCUGUGCAAAGUGCAUCAGAGAGCCUGCAAUGUAUUCUUGUGCCUUUCUGUUCUCUGGGUCCCAGGCUCUUACUAACUUGUGAACAAUACCUUCGAGAAACCCUAUGUGUGUGCAAGCAUCCCAAUUCUCCCCUGCAUACCUGGGUCCAUUGUUUGCAAAUGAAUGAAUGAAUCAGUUAGCCACUCAACCAAUCAAGAUUGACCUUUAAUUAAAUGACCACUUAUUUGCUUUCUGAUCUACAUUAGAAUUUGUCAUGCUGGCCAUUAGAACUAGAGCCUUUACAAAUGUGAACCUGAAAAGCCCUACAAUGUUAAAUAAAUUCCCUUUUAAAAAUUCUAUUUCUGUGGCUGCUUUGUUCUGCCCAUAGAAGUUUGGGAUGGAAAGCUGAAUGAGCAAUCAGCACAACAGCCUCUGUGAUUACUCCUCUAAUCUGCAGUGCCUAAGUGCUGGCCUUGGGGAGACUUUUGAGUCUAUUUCCUUAUUAGGAAAUCAUAGUGAUUUCAGGAAAAGCACAAAAGGAAAUGCUUCUGUUGAGAAAUAGCAUGCUGGAACUAAUGAGGGAAGGAGAAACGUAUGGUCUUUGAAAUCCCACUUAGUAACACUAUACCUCAGAAGGAAAUUGUGUCUUCAGGAAACCCUAAGCUUGUACUGGGCCUGCUUGAACAGAAAGCUCUUAGUCCAUAUGUGUGUGUGGCCUUUGAAGGCUUAUAACACAAUCAUGACCUGUAGUCCUGUACCUCUUGUCACACAUGUGGAUUUUCUUUCCUUUUCUUUUUUGGUUGUUCUAGACAUGGUUUCUCUGUGUGGCCCUGGCUGUCCUGGAACUCACUCUGCAGACCACGCUGGCCUCAACUCACAAGAUCCAUCUGCCUCUGCCUCCCGAAUGCUUGGAUUAAUGGUGUGCACCACCAUCAUCACCACACCCUGCUGGAUUAUUGUGUCCAUUAUGUACAACCAAAUUUCUGUUUCCUUUAAUGUGAAUACCACCCUGUCCCUGGUAAUUGUGAAGAAGGUGGGAACCAUACAGAUCAGAGCUUUAGUUACUGGCUCCCUGUCAACACCCCUCUCAUGGCCACAAUUCUUUCCUUGUUAUCAUGCAGCUACCAUUUCUUGUUAGUGAAAAAAUACUUAAGCUCUGUUCAUUGAUAAAAUGUAUGCCCUUCUGAUCUCAAUAACAUACCCAACAAGUCACCUUGAUUGUAGACUUGGAGAAUGAACUGUUUGAUUUGUAUCAGUAUAAUUAAUUGCUAUUUAAGCAUGACUGCAGAGUUGAGAAUUUUACCCAAUACAUUCAGACAAUAUGUUCCUAGUGCCCAAACUUGGCAUUAAAGAUACAAUGGUAAACAAACACAUAGUGUCCUGCGCUUGUGGGCUUCUUUAAUUAAAAGGAAAGGCAAAUGUGGAGGAGGAAAUGCCAUUUCAGAUGAAACUGGCUAUAGUACGAUUAAGUGUGUGCUUUAGUGAGGCCUAGGAGUAUGCAGAGAGAGGAUGGUCAGGUAGAUGAAGAUGUGUGAGCCCUGAUAGUAUGCAGAGAGGGGAUCGUCAGAUAAAUAGAGAUGUGUGAUCUCUUGGCAGAUGGCUAUAAUCUGAAAUUUCUUAUUCAUGGCUCACAGUGAUCACAGGUUCAUCGAGGACUGGCUCUUUGCCUAACAUAUCCUGGGAUCCAGGCUGAAGGGAAUGGGUGGGUUUCUUUCUGAAACACACAGAGGAUUUGGAAGAGCACAUGGUGGCCAGAAGUGACCCUCAUCACUUUCUGUUGUUCUGUAUUGGUCAAAGUGAGUCUCACACCUGAAACCGGGUGUACUUAAUGGAGCAAGGAGAAGCAACAUAGACUGACUGGACACUGCUGUGUAUUACAACUGGAACAUAAAGUGAAAAAGAGGACCCAGUAUAAAGCAGGGAGUAGGAGAUGGGCGACCAUUGCACUAAGAACCUGGUGUUUGACCUCGGGAACAAUUGCAAUGAUGAGUCUUCACCUAGUCCAUCUUUUCCAAGGAUUUAGACCUCAGUCUCAUCCUAAAGUCUCAUAGAAAAUUCUAGAAUACAGUUUGAACAAAAUUCUGAGCUGAUGGUCAAGCUAAUUUGAUCUAAAGAGUCAAGAGAGGAUGGUCUAAAAACAAGAUUAAGGUCGCUCUAAGCAUUAGUCUUAAUAUAUGGCUUUUCUAUGGAAAAAAAAUCCUGCUGGAGAAGCUGUUCCACAUUAACUAGCAAAUAGAGUCAUCCUUUAGAAAAGAAAAAGAAAGAAAAAGAAACGAAUGGAUAAAAAGAAACAUUAGGUAAAAAUGUAAUAAUCUAUAGUAAAAUCUCAAUUUUUGGUACUGACACACCAAACUGUACCUCAUUUUAUCACUCUUAUCACUACAUCACUUUUUAUCUGUCUUCUGGUAUUUACUUUCUCAGAUGGUAACACUAAUGUCAAGAGAUUAUUCUCCUGCCACAGAUUAACGGUAUCGCACAUUGAGGUCACACCAGUCAUUUGGUAUGCAUAGUCACCUGCUAGCCUCUGGCUAGUAUGCAAUGGGCACCAACUGGAUUCCCACCCACUAAGACCAAUCAAGAUGACCAGUGGAGAGCAGUGUUGAAUUCAUUCACAAAUAGCAGGAACAAAACCUGACCUACUUUAAUUUGUGAAGCGGAGCUCCUGAGCUUCCAUUUUUGGGAGAGAAGAGCUAAGCCUGCCAACAGGCUUUGUUUGAUCUAGACAUCAGGCAUUCAUUUGCUGAUUUGAUGGGACAGAGCCAACACACUGCACAGUCUAUGUCCCUGCCUGGUGCUGGCUUUAGCAGGACCAAAGGGAGGAGCAAAUAGAACCUAUAUUGCAUUCUUACCUUCUUGGUAUUUUAUUAAUUUGACUUCAAGCCCCAUUCAGUUUACAGAGAUUAGUUUUUGUUUUAGACUGCAUUUCCUGGUUCUCAUUGAUAAGUAGGUUGCAAGAAGCAGGGUUACACAGAUAAAAGGAUAAGUGCUAAAUUACUAUUCAGGACAAGCAAGGCAGAGUGCAGAGGGUUAAAUCAGAGGAACCCAACACCAGGCCAUAGUGGUUGGAAGGUACAGCAUUGUCUAGACACGUAAAGAUGGGUUAAAGGGAAUUAACCUGUUCAGUUGCAAACACAGCUCAUACCAUCAGUGGCCCAAACCUAUGGCACCUGUGAGCAGCAAAGCCAGAUGAGAUGAUCUGUAGAACCUAGUGUAUUGUACCACUGGGUUUCCACACAGUUUUCCAUGUCUCAGAACUGCACCCUGAAGACAGGACUGAGCUGCUGUGUGAAAGGAAAUGGAGUCAGAAAAGAAAAAGUCAUAUGCCAUAGCUCUGCUAUGCCUUUGCCAGGGGCCUUAGUGAAAUGCUUUGCCCAUACUCAAAUGGGAAAAAGAAUGCUGAACUGCCAAGACUUCCCCAAGGAAUGGUGACUGGUGUGGCUGCAUAGAAGACACCGCUUCUGCCCAGCCAUCCUCAGUUGUCCAGAUCUUGUGCUUGUGCUAUUUAUGUCUCAUCCCCCAUCUCUAGAGCACUCCUGGGAAGCUGUAGGAACAAAAUUUGUGCUUUACUAAGAAUUCUGCUAUUAUUUUUCUCUCUGGAGAAGCUUGUCCUCCUUUGAUCCGAAAUUGACAAUCAGGCUAUUCUGAGAAGGACUAAUUACAGAACACAUCCGGAGACUGUGACAAGGAAAUGAAUCCUGUGUAUGCUCCAUAUAGAUGCCAUUGUUUUCCUCAACCAUCUUAGUCUGUGGUUGACUGAAUGGACAGCACAAGCUGACAGCAUGUAUUCAGGUAAUAGAGACCCUCACCCUAAGUCACACUAACCCCCUCUUGGGAAAGACAGGUUACCUCUCUCAUUUUAGGAUGAUGAAUUUAGAAGAGUCUGCAAUCUCACAGAAAUGUUAGCCCACAUAGGCAGAUACCAGUGCUUAUAAUAAACUGGCCCCAGGAUGACAGUAAUGGGGCACAGAAGCCCAGCAUUUUGCCAUCUCUUCUUAGCAAGGGCCAACAGUGAGGGCUGCUGUUCAUCAGUACAGUCUUCUGCAGGACCCACUUGGGCACAUCAAGGACAUCUCUAGGUGACACAGUUUUGGAAAUAUCACCAGCCUCUCAGAUUCCCAAGUCUCCACAAUUCUGUCCAUCAGAUGAGAAUGACUGCUUCCUUUUGGGUUACUUUAAAGAUUUACUACCCCAAUGCCUGCUAGCCUGUGGCAUGUAAAGUUGCAAGUCCCAUGCCUGGGAAGGAACACUCUUGGAUGUGUCAUAAGAAUAAGUGAAGGACAGAGAACAUAUGUAGCUGGUCUUACCAGCCUGUCCACAUGCUGUGCUGUCCCUUGCAGUUCCUUCCAGGCUCUGUCAUUGCCUGGCUGCAGGAGGAGGCAGCUCAAUCCAAUUGCCUUUAGAUACACUCUUCCUGGUUUGUAAAAUGGAGCUAUCCAUGCCUCUGCUUCCAGGCUAAGAUUCCUAAGGGCUGGAUGAAUUUAUUACUAGGCAAGGUUCACUGAACAGUAACCCUUGGUUUGACAGCCUGAGAAUAAAUCUCAGGCCCAUAACUCCAAGCAUACCAUAACAAGCAAGAGUGUAUGGGGCUGUGUGACUUCUGAAUGUGUAGGCGCAUGUACAUUUGCACAUAUGCUAUGAAGCCAAACAACAACAAUCCGAAUUGCGGUUCAUCAGCACUGUCUAACUUGUGUUUUAAAUAAUCUUCUUAAUGCUUUUGAGAAUGGCAUAUGGUAUAUUUUGAUAAUAUUCACUCAUUCUUUCCCCAAUUCUUCUCAGGCCCACUCUCUUUACACUCACCUCCCUACCCACCCAAUUCUGAGUCUUCCUCCUCCUUUUUAAACUCAUUGAGUCCAGAUGUUUUUUCCAAUUAAUCUUGGGAGUGGAGCUUGUUCUGUGCUAUGGUCAACUGACUGAGGCAGGGGGGUCACAAAGAACUCCCCCCCUUCUCUCAGAACCUAGUGGUGUUACUUGCAUGCCCACCUCCCCUCUUCAAUGCUGGGACUUUUGUCUGACUUCAUUUUGUACAGGUCUUGUGUCUGCUGUCAAAAUCCCUAAGUUCAUUUGUGCAACUUCUCUGUCCAGAAAACUGUGUUUCCUGGAAGUUACGCACCACCUCCAGCUCUGACAAUAUUCCAUCCCCUUACCCAUGAAGAAUGUCAAGCAUGUAUGUCCCAUUUAGGAUGGAGCAUUUCACAGUUUCUUGUCUGCCCUUCAUGAGUUUAGGUGUCUUUGUCAACUGUCAUCUACUUCAAGGGGAAGUUUCUCUCAAGAGGAUUGACAAGUCAGGAGUCACUUUAAUACUGUGUCUACUUAGCAUAAUAAUAGUAUUAGUUUCUACCCUAGGGCCUCUUACCUAUCUAUCCACAGGUUCUUGUACUCACUAGCCAUGAACCUGAACACAAGAAAACAUCUCUCUGUAGUCUUGUAACUUGAUCAGCAGUGAAGAACUCACCAUCGGUUCCUAAGCUCAGGCCUAGAGUUGGUCUACAGCCUACUGUCUCUGACAGCCCUGGUUCUGAGGAUUGAUCUCAUUCCUGGCCCUCAAGAGAGAGUCAUGUUUGAGAUAUGUGAGCAUUUGUGUAUGCUUUGGUGAAGAUUUAUAUAACACAACGGAUAGGAGAUGAGGUGCAUUUCUGGAAGGAUUUUCCGAGAAGGAGAGUGAUGACCUUUUCCAGAACAAUUUGACAAAGGCUGAAGCAGAAAUUCCUGAAAAGAAAGGAAGAGAAGAAAAAGGUUAUGUUGCCAGCUAUACACACACAUAUAUGAAACUUCACAGUGAAGUUUGAUGAAGAACAUAGAAAAGGGCUUUCAUUUUCAGAAAAGGAUCAUACUGUCUGCCUAAGCAAGUAUCUGCCCAAUCAUAUCUAUUAAAUACUUGUCAUCACUAUAUUUCUAAUUGAGACAUGCUUUGAUGAAAAUUCUCUAGGAGACAAGUGCUUAUAUGCAUGCCUUCAUGGAAAAUGGAAAACAAUGUAGGGAUUGGCAUGUCAGAUUGUGUUGUACAUGAGACCAAAGCAAAGCUAUUCACCUCUCGCCAGCUAAGUAGCAAUAAUACCGAGGUCUGUCAUUCAUGGCACUGCCAAGGUUCCAGGUGUUGGCAUAGUCAAAUUCCAAUGUGUGGCAUGUAAUGGAGAACAGCUAUGUUCCCUUCAGUACUGAACAGCCACAUUGAACCAUCUACACGAUGUUCUAACACCAUUGUAGAGACACAUACGUCAUGGGCGAAAAGUCCUUUGUCCCAGGGCUGGUGGAGCACCACUGCUUAUUAUAGAGCAGUCAAGUUUGCUGUCUCCCCAAGCAGUAGUUUUUUCCAAAGAACUUACUCCUCAAUUGAUUUCACAGUUAUGCCUUGGCAUCUAAUCCCCUAAUCUAUGACAGCAUGCAAACUCUCAUAAAGACAUUCAAUACUGAGAUAAAAUGAAACUGGACCAUUUGUAUCCCAAGUUGAAUGUGCACUGUUUAGUGAGGUUAAAAAGGACAGAGGUCCUGGGAAUGAAGUGAUAGUCAGCAUGAAUUGUAGCCUAUAAUUGCCUGGGAAGGUGAGACGUGUUCUUUAAAGGAAACAUUAGAUAAUGCCUAUCACUCACAGGAGGUUAUCCUCAUGUGCACAAAAACAGAGCAGUGAGUGCUCAUUAUUGAUUAUUUAUGUCUUGCAAACACUGGAACAUAUGGUUACAUUUUCAACUUCAUUUUCUAAGAUUCUUCCUACUCAACAAUAUUCUUAAAAGUUGUCACAGUCAUAUCCGGGUGUGGGGAAAACAGAGUGUUACAAGUGCCUAAGGGGAAAGAGCCAUUCCUUUCUCCUGAUGGGUUUAGGAUGCAGGCAAGCAGAUGUUAUGCUGUGCUGAUCAUAGAUUUGUCAUUAAACAGACCAGCAUGUUGUAUCUUGAUAGGACCAUUGAUCAACAUUUUACAGACACAGUCUCUAUCUCUCUAUAUCUCCUUCCCUCGUUGUCAUUGAUUUCUUGGCAUCUCCCUUAGGCUUAACAUGUAAUGGCUUUCAGAAAAGAUAAUUAUUUUAUGUUAAAGCUUAAACAUAAGCCAGACAUGGUGCAUUUGAUCCCUAUUCCUAGACUUCAUUGAAGGCUAAGGCUCUAGAAAACAGACAAACUUGGAAAAGACUUUAAUUCUAUCUCUUGGAAGGCACGGGAAGACAGAUCUCUGUGAGUUCUAGGCCAGCCAAGGCACCAUAGUAAGACCUUCUCCCUCCCCCCCCACAGAGAUAGAGAUAGAGAUAUGACAUUGUUCUUUGAAUUGCUUUCUGCAAUUCCAAUUCCACUAAUAAGUGACUUUUACCGAGUACCUUCAGAAAGAAAGGAACUGAUUUCAGUUCACAGAUCCAGAGGGUUCAAUUCAUGAUGGCAGGGAAGCCAUGGUUGAGCAGCCAAGUUCACAUCACAAUGAUCCAAGAAGCAGAAGAGAAUGCUAGCCAUACUCCCUACCUACACAAUACAUUUAGCUAAAAGUAGCCAACUAUAACCAUACUGAAGCCUGUAUGCUGUACAGUCUUGAAAUUCCCUCUGCCAUGUUCAUUAGUAUGUUAUCUAGAGCCUUAGCCUUCUAUGAAGUCUGGGGACAGGGAUCAAAUGCAGACAAAUUCCUUGCCAGAAUAUGCCAUACAUUUCCUGUGCUUCAAACUGUGCAACUGCUAGCACUCUCUUCUAUACUGCCUGGUCCACCAAUAUGUAAACUGGAUACCUGGACAGUGUCUUCCCUGCAACAGUGGUCUGUAGGGGAAGCUGUAGCCACACCUACUUAGGGGCUGGUUACAGGUGUCUGACCACACCUGCACAUAGAACAGGGGUGUGGAAACAUUUGCACAUUCAUUGCCUCUUGUAUUUCUUCUAGGCAGCUUCUUUUGAGGAUUUAGUUGUCUUGUGCCUUCUGGGCUCAUGGUCUUCUCUGGUCUAAGGGGAAUAGAACAGGAUGUGAAGUUCACGCUUCUGCCUGGUACAGAUGGUGGCUGGGGGGGGGUGCACUGAGACUUUCAGAUCUUCUAAUGAGGAAAAUGUCUUCUUUGCUCAGCAACUCAUCCCAUUGUUUAGCCACACUGCCAGGAAAUCCUUCUACAGAUCUGACCCAAAUUUUCCAGCUGUGGCUGAAACCCACUUUGUCCUGGGUGGUCUCUCAGAGGGGACAGCUGUAGAAAGAACUGUUUGUGUCAAAUGACACAACAUCCCACCCAAACCAUGAGAGAAAGAAGCUUUAUAGCAAGCUGCUAGCCUCAUGGAUUUCACAGCUGGACAAGUGGCCAGACUUCUGUGUAGACAAAUCCCCAGGAGGAGCCAACUUGGUCUGGUUCUGAUUCAGUUCUCUUCUGCUAGGUGAGCUAAACAAAGGCCAUCUGAUGUCCAGAAAUAUCAUCUGCCCAUCAAUGGUAUGAAUGAUAUUCUUAUACAUGAGAACUCAUGCUUCUUUGUGUGUUUAAAUUAGAAAGCUCUAACUCACAAGUCCAGCUUAGAUAAAUAAAUAAAAUGUCCAACCCAAUCUCACAGAGUCAACUUCUAAAAGAGUUCUGUAUAUCCCAUUUAACCAAGCUACCUCAUUACUUUUAUAAUUUCCCUUUUUGCCUGGACCAGCUUUGCAGCCCAUUCUGAUAAGCUCAACAGAAUAAAAGGGAAUUGCUUGUCAAAUGGAGAGAGUUUCCAAAGUCAGAUGUGUCUCCAACCAUCUGGUAUACCCUGGAGAAAUCCCCAGGCUUCAGGGCUACUGACUGACUCACCUUCAUUUUGGAGUCUCUUCACAGCUCUGUAAUGUUCUCAUAGAUUUGGUUCCAGUCAUUUCCUCAUCCCUGUCACUCCAUCAAGUGCCAGGGCAGCAAUGGACACGUCAGAGAAGUAGAAACAGCCUAGGCUGUGGGUAUAGGUGGUUGUUACCUGUAGCUAAAGCUAAGCCGUUUGUGAUAUGUGCUUCAGUGUUUACUUCUCAAAUAAGCUUGCUUCCUAGGUUCCCCCUACAGGCAUCCAGGCACAGAGAAGAUACUCGGUAUCAGAAGUUGUCACUGACUGCUCUUUAAAUGGUGAACACAGAGUUUCUUUCUUGUUCAUUUUAUAACAGUACAAGGCUUGCUCCUAAGGCUCUGAUGCCCAGCAAAUAUCAAACCAAAAGAAGACCAUAACCUGGAGAAUCUCAAAGCCUAGGGGUGGUUUCCUAUGAGCCAUGAUUCCACUUUCAUUUGAAAUCAUGGGAUUCUGGAACCAUGGCUGUGUUUGGAUUGUCUGGAAGAACAGAUAAAAUGUACACACAAAGAGACACAGACACACACACAGACACAGACACACACAGACACACAGACACAGACACAGACACACACACAGACACACAGACACACACACACACACACACACACACACACACACACACACACACACACACAUUUCUGGAAUGGUUUCUAACCAGUAGGCUCAACAAUGGCUUUCUGAAUGUCUGAAUGCUGAAGAGGCUGAGACCAGUAGCUGCCCAGGCCUUGAAGCUCUUGGCUCAACAGUCUCAUCUGGUGCUGAAGUCCAACAAGAAUCUUAGAAUCUUCUGGGCCUUCAGUACACAGAAACCAGAGAAGCUGGAUUCUGAUGGCUGCAGUGGAGGGAGACACACCAAGCAGUGAAGAAGGAGGCAAAGAAGCAAGCUUGACUUUCCCUCAGACCGCCUCACACCUAGGCUGCCUAUUCUGGGAGAGGGUCUUCUCCCCUCAGUUGACCUUGAGGUGCUCUUGUGGCACCACCUAAAGGCAGUUGUCUUAUGGCUGGAAUCCUUUCCUUGGUCUUCUCUAAUCUUCAGAAAAUCAUUGCUAUGAUCCUUGAUUGCUUUCUGUGGCUAUGAUAAACACCAUGACCAAAUGCAACGUGGGGAGGAAAGGGUGUAUAUCAGCUUACAGGUUACAUGCUGUCAUAGAGGAAAGCCAAGGUAGGAAUCCAAGGCAGAAAACUGGAAACUGAAUCAGACUCCAUGGAGCAAUGCUCCUUACUGGCUGUCUCCCUCUAGCAUGCUCUUUAUAUAUUCCAGGACCACCAAUCCAGGAAAGACAUUGGCCACAGUGAUCUGGACCCUCCUACAUCAGUUAGCAAUCAAGAAAAUGCCUUCAGGGACAUUCCCACAGACUAGUCUGUUGGAGGCAACUAACUUCUCAUUUGAGGUUCCUUCAUCCUAGGUGUGUCUAGGUUUGUAUGAAGUUGGUGAAAAGUAACUAUGACAACUAGGUCUGGGGAUUUAGAGACUGCAGUUGUACCACAUGCUUACUCCAGCUCUUCUGCAGUGUGUCCAGGAGACAUUGCAUUUCGCUUCUGGUGAUUUGCUUUACUUUUGCCUCUUGCAUCCUUACAGAAAGGUCAGUCAGGCACCAGACUCUCAGACCCCAACUUCAGUUGCUAGGUCUCUGUUACUGCACAUUCUAUACUCACCACAGAUUGGCUGAUCCCUAGCCAAAUGCUCCUCCAAAGUCUGUUAUAGAAAACUUGAGUUCCAAACUGGGAUAGUACAAAUUCUGCUGGCUUUGGGUCAGAGAGCAUUGACUCAUCUUUAGACAAGUCAGUUGAUCUAACUUGGUCUGUGUCGUCAGUUACAAAAUGAAGAUAUUAAUAUAUGCCCUGCCUAACUUGUUUGACUGACAUGUGAGAUGAAAUCUGAAAAUGUGUUUUGUAAACUAUGAAAUGUCAUCCAAAUGGAAUAGAUACAGCACCAAUUAAAAAACAACCAUUUGUUUUUAAUAUAA
ensembl:lncRNA